rnacentral:rRNA from 1 species
UACGUAGGGGGCAAGCGUUGUUCGGAUUCACUGGGCGUAAAGCGUGUGUAGGCGGUUUGGCAAGUCCGGCGUGAAAUCUCCACUGCUUAACAGGGAGACGCCGUUGGAAACUGCCAGGCUAGAGGGUGGGAGAGGAAAGUGGAAUUCCAGGUGUAGCGGUGGAAUGCGCAGAUAUCUGGAAGAACACCAGUGGCGAAGGCGGCUUUCUGGACCACUCCUGACGCUGAGACACGAAAGCCAGGGGAGCAAACGGG